rnacentral:rRNA from 1 species
AUUGAACGCUGGCGGCAUGCCUUACACAUGCAAGUCGAACGGCAGCACGGGUGCUUGCACCUGUUGGCGAGUGGCGAACGGGUGAGUAAUACAUCGGAACAUGUCCUGUAGUGGGGGAUAGCCCGGCGAAAGCCGGAUUAAUACCGCAUAUGAUCCACGGAUGAAAGCGGGGGACCUUCGGGCCUCGCGCUAUAGGGUUGGCCGAUGGCUGAUUAGCUAGUCGGGGGGGUAAAGGCCUACCAAGGCGACGAUCAGUAGCUGGUCUGAGAGGACGACCAGCCACACUGGGACUGAGACACGGCCCAGACUCCUACGGGAGGCAGCAGUGGGGAAUUUUGGACAAUGGGCGAAAGCCUGAUACAGCAAUGCCGCGUGUGUGAAGAAGGCCUUCGGGUUGUAAAGCACUUUUGUCCGGAAAGAAAUCCUUGACUCUAAUACAGUCGGGGGAUGACGGUACCGGAAGAAUAAGCACCGGCUAACUACGUG